CCUUCUCAACACAAUAGGCCGAAGACAGCAGGUGCGUCUUGUGCGCUUAAUACGUAGCAUGCCUGCCGAGGCGAAGAGGAUAGACAGAUGGCCAGAGCAACAUCUGGCAAGAUGAGUCUUCGUAUCGGCAUGAUAUACGAGGACUCUAAUUUUUUAAGG
rfam:Chloroflexi bacterium RBG_13_56_8 RBG_13_scaffold_1219, whole genome shotgun sequence.